rnacentral:rRNA from 1 species
UACGUAGGGGGCUAGCGUUGUCCGGAAUCAUUGGGCGUAAAGCGCGCGUAGGCGGCCCGGUAAGUCCGCUCUGAAAGUCCAGGGCUCAACCCUGGAAAGCGGGUGGAUACUGCCGGGCUAGAAUCCGGAAGAGGCGAGUGGAAUUCCUGGUGUAGCGGUGGAAUGCGUAGAUAUCUGGAGGAACACCGGUGGCGAAGGCGGCAUCCUGGACCGGCAUUGACGCUGAGGCGCGAAAGCCAGGGGAGCAAACGGG